AGCCAUAUGAUGAGCACAGAGCAAACUAUUCUUUCGCCUUUUACUAAAGAAUAUCGUGUGUUCAUUAUGGAAAGUGGCAUACGUUAAUUUUUGAAAGGUCAUCCUUUUAUUAGGAGGA